rnacentral:rRNA from 1 species
UUAUCGGAGAGUUUGAUCCUGGCUCAGGACGAACGCUGGCGGCGUGCCUAAUACAUGCAAGUCGAGCGGACAGACGGGAGCUUGCUCCCUGAUGUUAGCGGCGGACGGGUGAGUAACACGUGGGUAACCUGCCUGUAAGACUGGGAUAACUCCGGGAAACCGGGGCUAAUACCGGAUGGUUGUUUG